rnacentral:tRNA from 1 species
UGGGAUAUAGCUCAGCAGCACAGUACCUGCCUGGGAAACGUGAGGUUCUGAGUUCAAUUCUCAGUAUCCCCU